rfam:Termite gut metagenome tgut2b_Contig26382, whole genome shotgun sequence.
UCCAUCGUGAGGUGGAAUCUGAAGGAAGCCGGAGGCAAAGUCCCGGGCCGACGAACAGAAACCGCAUAUAAGGCAAUGCAAGGCGGACGAGUUUGCAUAACAAAACGAAGUCCAAAAAGGCCGGGGAGGAAGAAAACAGACUCCGGUUUUACUGCCCGAACCUUGCAGUGUAGAUGCGGCGGCUAUAUGGGAUGAAGGUUAUCAGC